UAAGACUCGUGUACAACUGAGUCGAGGAAUCGAAUUUGUGAAAGUGUUACGGUGAUAGAAUUUGGGGAAGUUAAGGAGCGAGGGAUAAAAGUCUUAAUAUGACCGGUGAAAUGGUGGGCUCAAAUCAAUGAAUUACUACUAUUUAAGAAGAAAAAUAAAGAGAAAAUAUGAUAUUUUGGGAGCAUCGACUGCUGUCUAGUUCAGCCGAC
rnacentral:lncRNA from 1 species